GACGAACGCUGGCGGCGUGCUUAACGCAUGCGAGUCGAACGGGAAGGCCCGGCUUUUGUGGGGUGCUCGAGUGGCGAACGGGUGAGUAACACGUGAGUAACCUGCCCUCGACUGUGGGAUAACUUCAGGAAACUGGGGCUAAUACCGGAUAGGAGCUCCUGCUGCAUGGUGGGGGUUGGAAAGUGUCGGCGGUUGGGGAUGGGCUCUCGGCUUAUCAGCUUGUGGGUGGGGUAGUGUCUUACCAAGGCCUUGACGGGUAGCCGGCCUGAGAGGGUGACCGGCCACAUUGCGACUGCGGUGCGGCCCCGACUCCUCCGGGAGGCAGCAGUGGGGAAUAUUGCACAAUGGGCGGAAGCCUCAUGCAGCAACGCCGCGUGCUGGAUGUCGGCCUUCGGGUUGUAAUCCGCUUCCGCCUGUGACGAAGAGUGAGUGACGGUAAUUGGUGAAGAAGCACCGGCUAACUACGUG
rnacentral:rRNA from 1 species